rnacentral:rRNA from 1 species
AUUGAACGCUGGCGGCAUGCUUUACACAUGCAAGUCGAACGGUAACAGGCCUUCGGGUGCUGACGAGUGGCGAACGGGUGAGUAAUGCAUCGGAACGUGCCCAGAGGUGGGGGAUAACGCAGCGAAAGCUGUGCUAAUACCGCAUGUGAUCUGAGGAUGAAAGCGGGGGACCAAGCAGCAAUGUUUGGCCUCGCGCCUCUGGAGCGGCCGAUGUCAGAUUAGGUAGUUGGUGGGGUAAAGGCCUACCAAGCCGACGAUCUGUAGCUGGUCUGAGAGGACGACCAGCCACACUGGGACUGAGACACGGCCCAGACUCCUACGGGAGGCAGCAGUGGGGAAUUUUGGACAAUGGGCGCAAGCCUGAUCCAGCAAUGCCGCGUGCGGGAAGAAGGCCUUCGGGUUGUAAACCGCUUUUGUACGGAACGAAAAGGCUCUGGCUAAUACCUGGGGCUGAUGACGGUACCACAAGAAUAAGCACCGGCUAACUACGUG